AUGGGCGCAGCCUGAUCAGCAUGCCGCGUGUGUGAAGAAGGCCUGCGGGUUGUAAAGCACUUUCAGUUGGGAAGAAACGCUUUGGGUUAAUACCCCAAGGUUUUGACGUUACCACAAAAGAAGCACCGGCAAACUCCUUGCCACCACCCGCGUAAAUACGGAGGGUGCGAGCGUUAAUCGGAAUUACUGGGCGUAAAGCGCGCGUAGGCGGUCAGACAAGUCAGAUGUGAAAGCC
rnacentral:rRNA from 1 species